GGGCGCGUAGCUCAAUUGGCAGAGCAACUGACUCUUAAUCAGUAGGUUGAAGGUUCGAUUCCUUCCGCGCUCACCA
rnacentral:tRNA from 7 species